UCGAACGGUAACAGGGAGCUUGCUCCGCUGACGAGUGGCGAACGGGUGAGUAAUAUAUCGGAACGUACCCAAGAGUGGGGGAUAACGUAGCGAAAGUUACGCUAAUACCGCAUACGAUCUAAGGAUGAAAGCAGGGGACCGCAAGGCCUUGUGCUCCUGGAGCGGCCGAUAUCUGAUUAGCUAGUUGGUAGGGUAAAGGCCUACCAAGGCAUCGAUCAGUAGCUGGUCUGAGAGGACGACCAGCCACACUGGAACUGAGACACGGUCCAGACUCCUACGGGAGGCAGCAGUGGGGAAUUUUGGACAAUGGGCGCAAGCCUGAUCCAGCAAUGCCGCGUGAGUGAAGAAGGCCUUCGGGUUGUAAAGCUCUUUUGUCAGGGAAGAAACGGGUGCGGCUAAUAUCUGCAUCUAAUGACGGUACCUGAAGAAUAAGCACCGGCUAACUACGUGCCAGCAGCCGCGGUAAUACGUAGGGUGCAAGCGUUAAUCGGAAUUACUGGGCGUAAAGCGUGCGCAGGCGGUUUUGUAAGUCUGUUGUGAAAUCCCCGGGCUUAACCUGGGAAUGGCAAUGGAGACUGCAAGGCUAGAGUUUGGCAGAGGGGGGUAGAAUUCCACGUGUAGCAGUGAAAUGCGUAGAGAUGUGGAGGAACACCGAUGGCGAAGGCAGCCCCCUGGGUCAAGACUGACGCUCAUGCACGAAAGCGUGGGGAGCAAACAGGAUUAGAUACCCUGGUAGUCCACGCCCUAAACGAUGUCUACUAGUUGUCGGGUCUUAAUUGACUUGGUAACGCAGCUACGCGUGAAGUAGACCGCCUGGGGAGUACGGUCGCAAGAUU
rnacentral:rRNA from 1 species